rnacentral:rRNA from 1 species
CUACCAUGGCAAUCACGGGUAACGGAGAAUUAGGGUUCGAUUCCGGAGAGGGAGCUGAGAAACGGCUACCACAUCUACGGAAGGCAGCAGGCGCGAAAAUUGCCCAAUCCUGAUUCAGGGAGGCAGUGACAAGAAAUAACAACUCUCGACUAUGUUGAGAAGUGUAAUGAGGAUAAUUUACAAACCUUACCGAAAGCAAUUGGAGGGCAAGUCUGGUGCCAGCAGCCGCGGUAAUUCCAGCUCCAAAGGCGUAUAUUAAAGUUGUUGCAGUUAAAAAGCUCGUAGUUGAAAUUCUGGCUGUAUUGGGCCUCUGCACUCGAUGCGAAGGAACCAGCAGUCAUCCGCUUGCAAAUACAUGUCCUUCCUUAACCGGUAGGCUGUAUAAGUAAGCAUUUUACCUUGAGAAAAACAGAGUGUUCCAGGCAGGUUUGUCCGGAAUGCGUUAGCAUGGAAUAAUAGAAUAUGACUGAAGUCGAUUUAUUGGUUAAAGGCUUUGGUAAUGAUUAAUAGGAACAAUCGGGGGCAUUGGUACUUGUCAGUCAGAGGUGAAAUUCUAGGAUUUGACAAAGACUAACUGAUGCGAAAGCGUUUGCCAAGAAUGUUUUCAUUAAUCAAGAACGAAAGUUAGGGGAUC